AUUGAACGCUGGCGGCAUGCUUUACACAUGCAAGUCGAACGGCAGCGCGGGCUUCGGCCUGGCGGCGAGUGGCGAACGGGUGAGUAAUACAUCGGAACGUGCCCAGUAGUGGGGGAUAGCUCGGCGAAAGCCGGAUUAAUACCGCAUACGACCUGAGGGUGAAAGCGGGGGAUCUUCGGACCUCGCGCUAUUGGAGCGGCCGACGGCAGAUUAGCUAGUUGGUGGGGUAAAGGCCUACCAAGGCGACGAUCUGUAGCUGGUCUGAGAGGACGACCAGCCACACUGGGACUGAGACACGGCCCAGACUCCUACGGGAGGCAGCAGUGGGGAAUUUUGGACAAAGGGCGAAAGCCUGAUCCAGCAAUGCCGCGUGUGUGAUGAAGGCCUUCGGGUUGUAAAGCACUUUUGGCGGGAACGAAAAGGACUGUGCCAAUACCACGGUUCGAUGACGGUACCCGCAGAAUAAGCACCGGCUAACUACGUG
rnacentral:rRNA from 1 species